UACGUAGGGCGCAAGCGUUGUCCGGAAUUAUUGGGCGUAAAGAGCUCGUAGGCGGUUUGUCGCGUCUGCUGUGAAAACCUCAGGCUCAACCUGGGGCUUGCAGUGGGUACGGGCAGACUAGAGUGCGGUAGGGGUGACUGGAAUUCCUGGUGUAGCGGUGGAAUGCGCAGAUAUCAGGAGGAACACCGAUGGCGAAGGCAGGAUCUC
rnacentral:rRNA from 1 species